rnacentral:rRNA from 1 species
GACGGAGGAUGCAAGCGUUAUCCGGAAUGAUUGGGCGUAAAGCGUCCGCAGGUGGCAGUUCAAGUCUGCUGUCAAAGACCGGGGCUUAACUUCGGAAAGGCCGUGGAAACUGAAGAGCUAGAGUGCAGUAGGGGUAGAGGGAAUUCCCGGUGUAGCGGUGAAAUGCGUAGAGCUCGGGAAGAACAUCGGUGGCGAAAGCGCUCUGCUGGACUGCAACUGACACUCAGGGACGAAAGCUAGGGGAGCGAAUGGG